rnacentral:rRNA from 1 species
CCCAGACUCCUACGGGAGGCAGCAGUGGGGAAUAUUGGGCAAUGGGCGCAAGCCUGACCCAGCAACGCCGCGUGAAGGAAGAAGGCUUUCGGGUUGUAAACUUCUUUUAAGAGGGAAGAGUAGAAGACGGUACCUCUUGAAUAAGCCACGGCUAACUACGUGCCAGCAGCCGCGGUAAUACGUAGGUGGCAAGCGUUGUCCGGAUUUACUGGGUGUAAAGGGCGUGUAGCCGGGCCGGCAAGUCAGAUGUGAAAUCCCAAGGCUCAACCUUGGAACUGCAUUUGAAACUGUUGGUCUUGAGUAUCGGAGAGGCAGGCGGAAUUCCUAGUGUAGCGGUGAAAUGCGUAGAUAUUAGGAGGAACACCAGUGGCGAAGGCGGCUUGCUGGACGACAACUGACGGUGAGGCGCGAAAGCGUGGGGAGCAAACAGGAUUAGAUACCCCUGUAU